UUUCAUCUUGACAAUUUGCACAUCUGGGAGACUAUCAAGAAAUGCUUUGAGGUCGAUGCCAUUCAGCACAAUCUGAUUGUCAUAAAUGUGCCCAUUGGACUUAAAAUCGAUGACUGCUUUCUUCUUCAGCUGCAUGCAGUGUCUCUCAGCUGCCUCAAAAUCUCCUGCCUGAUAUUCUUGAUGUGCCAACUCAGCUAACCCUUGGAAGGAAAGCAUACGUUUCAUUGGUUCUGUGCUGUCGGCCACGUUGCCCACAGAAGACGCCAUCUGGAGCUUCUGGAGAGAGUGAGAAAAGGGGGUAAUUGAGUCCCGCUGCCGCCACUACUGGCAAGAAUGUUUCUAGAGAUACUGGCACCAAACUUUCAAACAAUAAGAAACUUCCCAUAAGUCCCUUGCCAGGCAAGAUUAAGGUAUAACAAUCCAAACAGAUUUUUGAAGAAGACAACUGGUUGAAAGCACAGGAAAAGAGCUGGGUUUCUCUUUUUCAACAGUCACAUAAUGAGUAAUGUGGGAAUUGGUUUACAAAGUCUCUCUCCAUGAGGGGCUAAGGUUAAGAUUAGAACUUCUGAGGCCAGAAGAGCAAAAUAACUACAACAACCCACAUAUUUUCAAGAGCCGCACUUUGGAUGUGAGGGACUGAUUUUUCCCACUCUGUUUUCAGCAACCCAACUGGUGUCUUUAUUAAAUGACAUAAGAGAAUACAGUGUGGCCAAGAAGGCUUAGAUUUCCUUAGCCCCAAGUCAGAUAUUCUCAAGUGACUGUCCACUUAAAUUAAAAAGAGAGAUUUACAAGAGGAAACUGGAUACAACUGAGUGUACUUUUAUUUCAACCCUUUACCUGAAUGUUUUGUUUUGUUUUCAGUUCUCCACUGAAGUUGCCUACAUUAAUAUAUUUUUAAGAACAUUUCCUUAAGUUGAAGUAUUCAUUCAGUAUAUUCAUUUACUAUAAUUGAGAAAAGCCAAAUGACUUAGGCAAAUUCAUUUCUAUAUUGCCACAGCAGUGUAUUGUGAACUAAAUGACACCUGGCAGUUCUUUACUCAGAUACUAACUCAAUUAGAAGGCAGAACAAGGAUACUUACCCAUUCAGGGAAGGAAAGGUCACUUAGCCUCUGUAGCUGUCUUAGGUCUCUUAUCAUCACAGUAACAAAUUGAAGACUAAAAACCAUACGAUCAUCUCAAUAGAUGCAGAAAAAGCUUUUGAAAAAAUUCAAUAUCCAUUCAUGGUAAAAACUCUCCAGGAAGUGGGCAUAGAGGGAACAUACCUCGACAUAAUAAAGGCCAUAUAUGACAAGCCCAUAGCUAACAUACUCAAUGGUGAAAAGCUGAAAGCAUUUCCCCUAAGAUCAGGAACAAGACAAGGAUGCCCACUCUCACCACUUUUAUUGAACAGAGUUUUGGAAUUCCUAGCCACAGCAAUCAGACAAGAAAAAAUAAAUAAAUAAAAGGACUCCAAAAUGGAAAGGGAAAAGUAAAACUGUCACUGUUUGCAGAUGGCAUGAUACAUAGAAAAUCUGAAAGACACCAUCAAAAAACUAUUCGAGCUCAAACAUGAACUUGGUAAAUUUGCAGGAUACAAUAGAUUUCUAUAUAUAAAUUUUGUAUUUCUAUACACUAACAGUGAACUAUCAGAAAGAGAAAUUAAGGAAACAAUCCCAUUUACAAUCGCAUAAAAAAGAAUAAAAUACAUAAGAAUAAACCUGCCUAAGGAGGUAAAAGACCUGUACCCAGGAAACUAUAUGACACUCAUAAAAGAAAUGAAAGAUGACACAAACAGCUGGAAAGAUAUACCACGGUCACGGAUUGGAAGAAUUAAUAUUGUUAAAAUGACCAUCAUACCCAAGGAAAUCUACGGAUUCAUUGCAGUCUGUAUCAACAUAUCAAGGGCAUUUUCCACAGACCUAGAACAAAUAAUUUUAAAGUUUGUAUGGAAACACAAAAGAUCCUGAAUAGCUAAAACAGUCUUGAGAAAGAAGAACACAACUGGAGGAAUCAUGCUCCCUGGCUUCAGACUGUGCUACAAACCUACAGUAAUCAAAACAGUAUGGUACCGGCACAAAAACAUCCAUCACUGGAACAGAAUAGAGAGCCCAGAAAGAAACCCAUGCACUUAUGGUCAAUGAAUCUAUGACAAAGGAGGCAAGAAUAUGCAAUGGAGAAAAGUCUGGGCUUCCUUAGGGAUGGUUUCAUCAAUUAAUUUGUUUUCUUAAAUGGACCAUACUUUUCCAUGUCUUUGUAUACCUUGUGAGUUUUUUGGUUGAACAUUGGGCUUUCAAAUAUUAUAAUGUGGUGUCUAUGGAAAUCAGAUUCUCCCACUUUCCCAGGGUUUUCUGGGCUUUUGAUUGUUGAAGGCUGUAGUAGUCUGUUUGUUUAGGGACCUUUCCAAACUAGUUUUGCAAUGACUGUACUCCUUAUCGUAUGGAGGCACUGAAGUCUCUGUUCCUUUAGUUCAUGUUUAGCUAAUGUUUUGACAGAGAUGUCCUUGAAUUCCUGCACCUAAGACAAACAAAAACAAAUAUACACAAGCACAUCCACAUGCACACUCAAAACCACACACCUCUCCCCAUUGUGCAGAUUGCUGGAUCACUCCUUCAACAUUUAGCUGACCUGCAGUGAGUUCAGGGCUCAGCCCAUGGUAAAAGCUUAGAGACUCCUCUGGUGUUUUCAGAACAUGCAUCUUAUCUUGAGUAUGCAUGUGGUUUUCUUAAUUUCUCUGGACACGUGUACUUUUUGUAUGUUCUAAGUUCCCAAAGAAUCUCCCCCAACUUUUGCUCCUGCAUCUUAUGUGGUCUAUUGUAUUUCAAUGCACAGUCUUCUGCCCCAGCCAUCUGUGCUUUGUUAGUUCACCUUGCACUUUUUUUGAGCAAUGACCGCUGCUUUUCCAGAUUGUGUUCCAGGUUAGCUAAGGCAGAGAUAAGCAUCUUCUGUCAGUCCUUCAGGUAGCUCCCAGACAGGUUAGAACAGAUACACAUAAUAAUCCGAGAGUAUAGUUUCUUCUCCUCCCUCCUGAAGCAGGAUUGAGGGUCCCAUACUAGGAAUGGUCUGCUGCUACUUUAAGACUAUCACUGCAUUAAGACCCCACCACUUUGAGACCAUCACUACACUAACAGUAGAUGGGGCAAGGGCAAGUAAAAAUGCCACAAAGCUUUCCUGCCAUUUUCAAAUUGCCUCUUCCCUGGUUCAGUAUGUGUUUGGUUGCUGUAAAUCUUUGCCUGAUUUCAGGACUAAGAGAAACUCAAGGAACGCCACAACAAGAAACAGUAUACUCAAACUCUCAGAUGCCAAAAGACAGAGAAAGAAUCUUUUCUCCCAAAGGAGAAAGAAAAAACAAAUUUGUUACAAAGCAGGGAUCCUCAAAAAGAUUCAUAGCUAAUUUCCUAUCUGAAACCACGGAAGCAAGAGGCCAGACAUAUUUAAAGUGCUGAAAGAAAAAAAUUGUCCACCAAGAAUUCUAUAUUUGGCCAAACUGGCUUCAAAACUUAGGGAGAAAUUAACACAUUCCCAGAUGAACAAAGGCUGAGGGCGUUUGUUUUACAACUUCCUAACACUGCCCUAUGACAAAUGCUAAAUUGAACCUUCAGGUUGAAAUGAAAGGACACUAGACAGCAACUCAAAGCUGUAUAAAGAAAUAGAAAUCUCCAGUAAAGAUAAAUACAUGGGCAGAUACUAAAGCCAGUAUUGUGCUACUGGCUUGUAACUCUACUUUUUAUUUCUUACAUGACUGAAAAAACAAAUGCAUAAAAUAAUCAUAAAUCCAUGUUAUUGGGCUCACAAAGUAUAAAGGUGUAAUUUGUGACAACAAUAAUGUAAGGAGGAGGAAUGGAACUGUAGAGGAACAGAGUUUCUGUGUGCUAUUGAAGUUGGUUUCAAUUCAAAUGAUAUUGGUUGAACUUUAGAAGGGUAAAUGUAAUCUUCUUGAUAACCACAAAGAAAAUAUCAAUAGACUAUAUGCAAAAAGAAAUGAAAAAGGAAUCAAGAGUUCACUACAACAAGAUCGGCUAAGCACAGAAGAAGUCAGUAAUGGAGUAAAUGAGGGGAAAAAAUGCAUAAGACGUACAGAAAACAACCAGGAAACAGACAGAAUUAAGUUCUUCCUCAUCAGUAAUUUUUGAAAAAGUAAGUGGAUUAAGCUCUCCAAUAAAAAGAUAAAUAUUGGCAGAAUGGACUUUAAAAACAUCCAUAAUCCAAGUAUAUGCUGUCCGCAAAAAACUCACUUGAUUCCAAGAGACACAAGUUGGUUGAAAGUUAAAGCACAGAAUAAAAUAUCCCAUGCAAAUAGUAACAAAAAGAAAGAAAGAGAGAGAGAGAAAAAGAAAGGAAGGAAGGAAGGAAGGAAGGAAGGAAGGAAGAUAGAUCUGGGAUGGCUACGUUAAUAUCACACAAAAUAAACUUUAAAUCAAAACCUAUCACAAGAGGAAAAGGAGGCCACUAUAUGUUGAUAACAAGUUCAAUCUAUCAAGAAGCUAUAACAACUAUAAACAUAUAUGUACCAAACAUCCCCCAAAUAUGUGAAGCAGACAUUGACAGAAUUGAAGGAAGAAAUAGAUAGUUCUAAAAUAAUAGCUGGAGAUCAAUACCUUGCUUUCAAUAAUGGAUAACACAUCUAGACAGAAGAUCAGUAGAGAGGCAGGGGGACUGAAUAACACAUUUAACCACUCAACAACAGCAGAAUACACAUUUUUCUCAAGUACACAUGGAACAUUCUCCAGGAAAGACCAUAUGUUACACCACAAUACAAGUACCAAUACAUUUUUAAGAAACUGAAAUCAUACAAAGUAUCUUCUUUAGCCACAGUGAAAUGAAGGUAGAAAUCAAUAACAGAACCAUUGGUAGCCAUUUCCCAUCAUGCCUGCCACACAUGAUAUAAAGCAAUGCAGGGAAAAACAUAAUUGACCAUUUAGAAAAGUGGGAAAGAGGACAUACCAUUGACACAGAGUGUGUGCUGUUUCCCGUUGUCAGGGAUAGAAAUAAAUUAGCAUCAUUUAUUCAUUAGUGUGUUAAUUUCUUGGUCAAUCAUUGGGCAGCCAGUGUUUCUGCCUGAUGGGAAGAUUUCCUAUACUCAGUGUUGAGUGGAGCCAACCUUGAAAGGGACAUUUAAAAGGAUUAUACUGUGAUGGGCUUAGCAGUACCCUUCCUCCUAUGCCAGUAUUUAGGCUGGGGUAGUUCCAUGCAGUGUGUACAAUCGUAGGCCCCAGGUCACCAGAAUUUAGUUGGAUUCGUUUUGUUAAUACAUUCCCUCAGUACUUUGUCUUUUAUUUGACUGUUGCAUUUACUUCAUUCUUUAUUAUCACUGCGAAACAACUUUGUUUCCUGUUCAGAUGCCAAAAAGUGGAUAUCAAUACCUCCUGAGUUUUACACAUCACAGAUCUGUUUUACAUAUCAGAGACAGAGACAGCAACUAUUUCCUAUGACUUUGAGACAUGCUUUGAACAUGUGAUUAACAUGUUGAGUGUUGAAAUGUGUGUCGAGCUCAUUAUACUUGCUCUAAAAGGUUUCAAACUGCAAAGAUUUAAACAUCUUUAUCUUUGAAUAGUUUUCCUGUGCUGUCCCUUUGUGUCAGACUGUUAAUGUGCAGUCUGGCACCUUCAAAUAAUGUGGCUUUGUAACCAAUUAUUUACAUGUUGUUUUAUCCACAGAGAAUCUUUUUUUAAAUAAAUUUAUUUAUUAUUUAUUUUUGGCUGUGU